AAUCAACUCGCCGUGUUUGAAGGAGGAGGAAUCCUGCCUAUGCUUUGGGGGUGUUUCUCUGCUAAGGGGACAGGACAACUGCACCGUGUCAAAGGGACCAUGAAUGGUCAAAUAUUAGGAGAACCUCCUUCCCUCAGUCAGGGCAUUGAAAAUGAGUCGUGGAUGGGUAUUCCAGCAUGACAAUGACCUAGAACAAACAGCCAAGGCAACAAAGGAGUGGCUGAAGAAGAAGCACAUUAAGGUCCUGGUGAACCCUAACC